rnacentral:rRNA from 1 species
UACGAAGGGUGCAAGCGUUACUCGGAAUUACUGGGCGUAAAGCGUGCGUAGGUGGUUUGUUAAGUCUGAUGUGAAAUCCCCGGGCUUAACCUGGGAAUUGCAUUUGUGACUGCCCGGCUAGAGUGUGUCAGAGGGGGGUAGAAUUCCACGUGUAGCAGUGAAAUGCGUAGAGAUGUGGAGGAAUACCGAUGGCGAAGGCAGCCCCCUGGGAUAACACUGACGCUCAUGCACGAAAGCGUGGGGAGCAAACAGG